AUUGAACGCUGGCGGCAUGCCUUACACAUGCAAGUCGAACGGCAGCACGGACUUCGGUCUGGUGGCGAGUGGCGAACGGGUGAGUAAUAUAUCGGAACAUACCCUAGAGUGGGGGAUAACGUAGCGAAAGUUACGCUAAUACCGCAUACGAACUAAGGUUGAAAGCGGGGGAUCUUCGGACCUCGUGCUCAUGGAGUGGCCGAUAUCUGAUUAGCUAGUUGGUGAGGUAAAGGCUCACCAAGGCGACGAUCAGUAGCUGGUUUGAGAGAACGACCAGCCACACUGGAACUGAGACACGGUCCAGACUCCUACGGGAGGCAGCAGUGGGGAAUUUUGGACAAUGGGCGCAAGCCUGAUCCAGCAAUGCCGCGUGAGUGAAGAAGGCCUC
rnacentral:rRNA from 1 species